rnacentral:lncRNA from 1 species
ACAUUAUAUAGAUGCUUGUAGGGCGUCUAGAACUCUAGUCAGUAUGGUUACGAGUAUCCUGGGUUGCCUUAUAAUUCAUGGCUUUAAGGUAACGGUAUUUCGACAGCAAAUUACACUGUAUGCUGAUGUGACCUUUCAGAGUCACACUGUUUCGACCUUGCUAGCUAUAUCUUUCAUUUGAUACUGUCUGGGGUCUAUAGUCUCUGUUUCGACCUUGCUAGCUGUAUCUUUCAUUUGAUACUGUCUGGGGUCUAUAGUCUCUGUUUCGACCUUGCUAGCUGUAUCUUUCAUUUGAUACUGUCUGGGGUCUAUAGUCUC